AGUAGCUCAGGAGGUAGAGCAAGUGGCUGUUAACCACUAGGUCAUUGGUUCAAAACCAAUC
rnacentral:tRNA from 1 species